UACGUAGGUGGCAAGCGUUGUCCGGAUUUACUGGGCGUAAAGAGCGCGCAGGCGGUCGUUCAAGUCGCGUGUGAAAGCCCCCGGCUCAACUGGGGAGGGUCACGCGAUACUGAUCGACUCGAAGGCAGGAGAGGGUAGUGGAAUUCCCGGUGUAGAGGUGAAAUUCGUAGAUAUCGGGAGGAACACCAGUGGCGAAGGCGGCGACCUGGACGGAUACUGACGCUGAGGUGCGAAAGCGUGGGGAGCAAACAGG
rnacentral:rRNA from 1 species